GAAAGAAAGAAAGAAAGAAAGAAAGAAAGAAAGAAAGAAAGAAAGAAAGAAAGAAAGAAAGAAAGAAAGAGAAAGAAAAGAAAGAACAAAAAACCAAACAGACACAACAAAAGCCCAAACAGUUGCAGUAUUUUUUUAAAGCGUCUCACGUCGUCGCCAAUCACAGUGCAGCAGAGGCCAACCCGGGAGCAGCGCCCCCACCCCCACCCCCUGCCCCCACACCUGCACCAGUGGGAGAGGUUGAAAACCACAAACUCUUUUAGAGGGAAACACAGAGGUGGUGACCGUGGAGGCAAGAGAACAGAAACAAAGCCAAGAGGUACUUGAACAAAGCUGUUAAAGUAACUAACAGUUCUGGCGACUUGGGACCCCGCUGGAGGUGGCAUCCGAAGCGACAGCUCUGAGCCGUGCCCUGUGCGUCUGCUGCCAGCCAGCUUCCACCCAUCGCGUCCGCCGCCGCCUCGUUGUGCCUGAGGAACCCCAAGACUCGCGUGGGUGAAGCGCAAAGUGCCCCGCGCAGCCCGGAGGUGGCUCCGGCGCUGCCCUGCGCUCCCCGUGCCGGUGUCCGAAGGUGUCAGCAACCUGCUGACAGCGACGUCGGGUCAGAGUGCUCCUGCCCCAGCUGCUGCCGAGCACGUCGAGUCUCUUCUGUGUCUCUUCCACAACCAAAGAUGACCUGCGGGCUCCCACUGUGCAAAGCAUCCACGCAGCUCUCCGGUGUGGCGUGGGAACGGUGCUCCCUGGACCAGGAGCAACCCGUGGAGCGUUUGCCGGUGGUCCGUGCGGCGCUGGCUGCUCACCCGAUGCUGGCUGCUGCUUUUCCAGCUGCUAAAUCACUGCUGUGUGCAACGAACAAGAGGAAAGCCGAGGGUAAAGAAGGCUCCGAGUACAUGAAACCCUUUGCUGAUCUUUUCAGUGCUGUACUUGCAGGAGGCUGUUCUGUGAGCACCAAGGGGAAGGGAGGAGGGUGCCUGGUUGUGGCUGGGGGGGAGACGUCCGUCAGAUGCUUUCCCUGUGUUCCACGCCAUGAGUCUGAGCUAGAGAAUCCAUGGCCUAAAGCACUAGAGAAUUGUUUGGGAGGUUUUUUUUAGUAACAAUAAAACACUUUUCUCUGA